rnacentral:rRNA from 1 species
ACACAUGCAAGUUGAGCGAUUUACUUCGGUAAAGAGCGGCGGACGGGUGAGUAACGCGUGGGUAACCUACCCUGUACACACGGAUAACAUACCGAAAGGUAUGCUAAUACGGGAUAAUAUAUUUGAGAGGCAUCUCUUGAAUAUCAAAGGUGAGCCAGUACAGGAUGGACCCGCGUCUGAUUAGCUAGUUGGUAAGGUAACGGCUUACCAAGGCGACGAUCAGUAGCCGACCUGAGAGGGUGAUCGGCCACAUUGGAACUGAGACACGGUCCAAACUCCUACGGGAGGCAGCAGUGGGGAAUAUUGCACAAUGGGCGAAAGCCUGAUGCAGCAACGCCGCGUGAGUGAUGAAGGCCUUCGGGUCGUAAAACUCUGUCCUCAAGGAAGAUAAUGACGGUACUUGAGGAGGAAGCCCCGGCUAACUACGUGCCAGCAGCCGCGGUAAUACGUAGGGGGCUAGCGUUAUCCGGAUUUACUGGGCGUAAAGGGUGCGUAGGCGGUCUUUCAAGUCAGGAGUGAAAGGCUACGGCUCAACCGUAGUAAGCUCUUGAAACUGGGAGACUUGAGUGCAGGAGAGGAGAGUGGAAUUCCUAGUGUAGCGGUGAAAUGCGUAGAUAUUAGGAGGACACCAGUUGCGAAGGCGGCUCUCUGGACUGUAACUGACGCUGAGGCACGA